rnacentral:rRNA from 1 species
UACGUAGGGGGCAAGCGUUGUCCGGAUUUACUGGGCGUAAAGAGCGUGUAGGCGGCCACGCAGGUCCGUUGUGAAAACUGGAGGCUCAACCUUCAGACGUCGACGGAAACCGUAUGGCUAGAGUCCGGAAGAGGAGAGUGGAAUUCCUGGUGUAGCGGUGAAAUGCGCAGAUAUCGGGAAGAACACCCGUGGCGAAGGCGGCUCUCUGGGACGGUACUGACGCUGAGACGCGAAAGCGUGGGGAGCGAACAGG